GAUGAACGCUGGCGGCGUGCCUAACACAUGCAAGUCGAACGGAAAGACACUGAGCUCUUGCUCUUCCGGUUGGCGACGGGCGGGUGAGUGACGGGUACGUCGCCAUCCACUUUGUCGUGGGUCAGUGCGGAGGGACACAGACCCUAAUACCACAUACUACGUACCGGUGGGUGCGGUAGGUCUUCUGGGCUUGGGCGACGCUAUUAGCCGAUCCCGGAUUAGCUAGGUGACUGGGUAAAGGCCUAGCAAGGCGACGAUCCGUAGCUGAGCUGAGAGGAUGAUCGGCCACACUGGAACUGAGACACGGUCCAGACUCCUACGGGAGGCAGCAGUGGGGAAUAUUAGGCAAUGGGCGGAAGUCUGACACAGCAAGACCGCGUGGGAGAAGAAGGCCUUCGGUUGGUAAAGCCCUGUUGUUGGGAAAGAACAGCAGUCGACUAAGACGAAGCUGUGGUGACGGUACCUAAAUAAGAAGCACCGGCUAACUACGUG
rnacentral:rRNA from 1 species